rnacentral:rRNA from 1 species
GACGAACGCUGGCGGCGUGCUUAACACAUGCAAGUCGAACGGAAAGGCCCUGCUUUUGUGGGGUGCUCGAGUGGCGAACGGGUGAGUAACACGUGAGUAACCUGCCCUUGACUUUGGGAUAACUUCAGGAAACUGGGGCUAAUACCGGAUAGGAGCUCCUGCUGCAUGGUGGGGGUUGGAAAGUCUCGGCGGGUGGGGAUGGACUCGCGGCUUAUCAGCUUGUUGGUGGGGUAGUGGCUUACCAAGGCUUUGACGGGUAGCCGGCCUGAGAGGGUGACCGGCCACAUUGGGACUGAGAUACGGCCCAGACUCCUACGGGAGGCAGCAGUGGGGAAUAUUGCACAAUGGGCGGAAGCCUGAUGCAGCAACGCCGCGUGCGGGAUGACGGCCUUCGGGUUGUAAACCGCUUUCGCCUGUGACGAAGCGUGAGUGACGGUAAUGGGUAAAGAAGCACCGGCUAACUACGUG